rnacentral:tRNA from 1 species
GGCCUGAUAGUUCAGUGGUAGAAUUCUUGCUUUGGGUUAUUCCUAAAAUGUAAGAGGUCUCCGGUUCGAUCCCGGAUUAGGCCC